rnacentral:rRNA from 1 species
UACGAAGGGGGCUAGCGUUGCUCGGAAUCACUGGGCGUAAAGGGUGCGUAGGCGGGUCUUUAAGUCAGGGGUGAAAUCCUGGAGCUCAACUCCAGAACUGCCUUCGAUACUGGGAGUCUCGAGUCCGGGAGAGGUGAGUGGAACUGCGAGUGUAGAGGUGAAAUUCGUAGAUAUUCGGAAGAACACCAGUGGCGAAGGCGGCUCACUGGUCCGGUACUGACGCUGAGGUGACGAAGGCGUGGGGAGCAAACAGG